GUUCUGUAACCUUUUUCGCAAAGAAGAGGUAGCAUAAGUUUUGUAAAUAAUAACGGGGUGUUUGCGUUAUCUGUCAGAAACUCCGUUCCAUGUAACGCAACACCAACACACCCUGCAUACUCUAGGACUCGUAUCAAACGGAGGAGAUUGAUCCCAAAGCCAAAGGCGGCCAGCUUGAUCAGAAUCAGAAGCCUACAAGGCUACGGGAGUUCGUUCGGCGGCAGAAACUCGGGCCGCAAGCUACACGGGGAGGAAGAGUUCGUGCUCCCAAAGGUUCGCACUUGAUCCCUUCUACUUCUCGUAUUUUUUUUAUACUACUACUAUUAUUAUACUCCCUAGCUUUUCCACCUCUUUUGUCGUCUGGCUCUUCUCUCCUGCGUGCGAAGGCCAGAACCUAGAAGCCGCGGCCGCAGCUCUCCCUCCCGGCGCCGCCCGUGGUCGCCGGCGGCAACCAAGAGAAACAGGAUAUUUAUGCCUUUUUCUUGACACGGAAAGCCAAUGGCGAGAGGACUGGAUUCAGAUUAUAUUGGUUCUAUUUCGCUCAUGGAUGGAUUUGAUAUGGGUAUCACGUUUGAUGGGUUUGGAGAAAAUAUGAAGAAGUUCAUGGAGUUACCGAUCAAAUAUCUUGAUUCUGCUCACGAUAAAGCUGUUGAGCUAGUUGAGGAUAUCCAUGCGCUGAUUUACGCUCACUCUCCUGAUGAUAAAUUUCCGGACAAAGACCAUGGGACAUUAACGGAUCCAUCUAAUAACGGUGCCAUAAUCGGAUCUCCCUCCACACGUGUUAAAAUGCAGCAAGUUAACCCUAACGAAGGAUUCUCUGGUUAUCCUUCAUCUCUCGUUACCGCGGAAGACCGUUCUCUCGGCUCAACUGCUACUGAUGUUCAUGAAACUGAGCCUGUUUCAUCUACAAGUCCAGCCAUGUGUGCUUCUGAAGACUCCAUUUCACUUGAGAGAACUGCUGACACCAAGGAGGAAGUUGCUUUUUGCAAUUCAGAGGAUCUCUCAGAUAACUGCACUCCUGAAAAUCACAAUUCACUAGGGGUAUCUGUUAGCAGUGAGGAGGAAAUUAUAUUAUGGAAUCAAUGGAGUUCUGUAACACCACGACAAUCACCUGAGCAAGCCACCGUAGUCCAAGAUUAUGUAUCUGAAGAAGCGAACGGAAAUAAAAUCAUCGAGCAAGUUGAACUCCCUGGUUCAGGACAUUCAGCUGCUUUUGAUGGAGCAAUUCUGCUUGGAAAGGGAAAUGAUGAAGAGCAAUCAGAAUUAUGCAGCGAGAACAGCCAUGAAGAAUCAACAAAGCACGACCUCUGGGAUGGCCAGGAGCAGAUGAAAUAUAACAAAUCAGAGGCAUCCUCGCUUCCUCAACCAAAGAACACAUCAUUCAAGAAAGUGUUGAUGAGGAGCUUGUCGAAUAAACUCCGGUGGUCAAAGAAGGAUAUGAAUGUGCAUCAGGCCGUCCCCUUCAGACCACAGAAAUCAGUAGAUGUUUGCUAUGAAGUAGUUUGUUCAUCAGAUGGUCUGGAGGAUGAUUGGGAACUCUUAUAAAUCUGCAUGAAAUUCAGCAUCUCUGGUUACAGGAGAAAAUCUUGUGUAAAACGAAGUUCCUUGACUACUAUCUCAAAGAGUGCAAAUGUUGAGGGUUUGCAUCUCUACGGCACCAUCUGUCGGUGUAUCGGCAUUACUGUAAAUCUGAGCUGAGGUUAUGUAAUUAUGUAAAGCUCUUCUAGUUUUCUCUUGAUGACCUGAAUUUUGUACUGAUCUGAGCUGGUGCAGCCAAGGGUAUCUGCAACUACAGUAGUUUUCAGCUUCUUAUUCCCCUUAUCUACUAGCAUUUCAGUUUUAAAAUAUACAGAUAUUCGCAUUUCCUCUUCUGUUAAUAAAAGAGAGUUAUCAUUUGC
rnacentral:rRNA from 1 species